GCGCAGCUACCAUGCAGUCGAGCGGAGCGAGGGUGCUUGCACCUUAGCUUAGCGGCGGACGGGUGAGUAAUGCUUAGGAAUCUGCCUAUUAGUGGGGGACAACAUUCCGAAAGGGAUGCUAAUACCGCAUACGCCCUAAGGGGGAAAGCAGGGGAUCUUCGGACCUUGCGCUAAUAGAUGAGCCUAAGUCGGAUUAGCUAGUUGGUGGGGUAAAGGCCUACCAAGGCGACGAUCUGUAGCGGGUCUGAGAGGAUGAUCCGCCACACUGGGACUGAGACACGGCCCAGACUCCUACGGGAGGCAGCAGUGGGGAAUAUUGGACAAUGGGCGGAAGCCUGAUCCAGCCAUGCCGCGUGUGUGAAGAAGGCCUUUUGGUUGUAAAGCACUUUAAGCGAGGAGGAGGCUACUAGUAUUAAUACUACUGGAUAGUGGACGUUACUCGCAGAAUAAGCACCGGCUAACUCUGUGCCAGCAGCCGCGGUAAUACAGAGGGUGCGAGCGUUAAUCGGAUUUACUGGGCGUAAAGCGUGCGUAGGCGGCUUUUUAAGUCGGAUGUGAAAUCCCCGAGCUUAACUUGGGAAUUGCAUUCGAUACUGGGAAGCUAGAGUAUGGGAGAGGAUGGUAGAAUUCCAGGUGUAGCGGUGAAAUGCGUAGAGAUCUGGAGGAAUACCGAUGGCGAAGGCAGCCAUCUGGCCUAAUACUGACGCUGAGGUACGAAAGCAUGGGGAGCAAACAGGAUUAGACACCCUGGUAGUCCAUGCCGUAAACGAUGUCUACUAGCCGUUGGGGCCUUUGAGGCUUUAGUGGCGCAGCUAACGCGAUAAGUAGACCGCCCUGGGGAGUACGGUCGCAAGACUAAAACUCAAAGGAAUUGACGG
rnacentral:rRNA from 1 species